rnacentral:rRNA from 1 species
AGAGUUUGAUCAUGGCUCAGGAUGAACGCUAGCGGCAGGCCUAAUACAUGCAAGCCGAACGGUAAGUUGAGUAGCAAUACUUGACCUAGAGUGGCGUACGGGUGCGUAACACGUAUGUAACCUACCCUUUACAGGAGUAUAGCUCGGGGAAACUCGGAUUAAUCCUCCAUAAGAUGACAGACCGGCAUCGGUUAGUCAUAAAAACUGAGGUGGUAAAGGAUGGACAUGCGCAUGAUUAGCUAGUUGGAGGUGUAACGGACCCCCAAGGCGAUGAUCAUUAGGGGAACUGAGAGGUUGAUCCCCCACACUGGCACUGAGAUACGGGCCAGACUCCUACGGGAGGCAGCAGUAGGGAAUAUUGGUCAAUGGGUGAGAGCCUGAACCAGCCAUGCCGCGUGCAGGAAGACGGCCUUCUGGGUUGUAAACUGCUUUUACCAGGGGAUAAAAUAUCCUUGCGAGGAAAAUUGAAGGUACCUGGAGAAUAAGCACCGGCUAACUACGUGCCAGCAGCCGCGGUAAUACGUAGGGUGCAAGCGUUGUCCGGAUUUAUUGGGUUUAAAGGGUGCGUAGGCGGGCUAUUAAGUCAGUGGUGAAAUCCAACAGCUCAACUGUUGAUGUGCCAUUGAUACUGGUAGCCUUGAGUACAGAUGAGGUAGGCGGAAUUGACAGUGUAGCGGUGAAAUGCAUAGAUAUUGUCAAGAACUCCGAUAGCGAAGGCAGCUUACUGGACUGUAACUGACGCUGAUGCACGAAAGUGUGGGGAUCAAACAGGAUUAGAUACCCUAGUAGUCC